CCUAUCCAUUCCCUUUAUAUUGCUUCACUAGUGUGUCUUCUUUCAUUUUGUAUAUGCCUUUUGGUGCUUAUUUGAGAAAUUAGUAAAUAGAUCUAUCAAGAGGAAGAAAUUGUCUUUCUGGUUUUCAACUUGUUUAUCAAUCUGAUAUUCAAAUAAUUUGAUGGAUAGCUUAACUGGGUUUCGCUGGAGAUUUUUCAUAAUCAGCGACGGAGAUCUUCGGCGGUGACUAAUCUCUCUAGAUUCACGGCGGCGAUAGGCGGCGAUAUACACAUCUUACAGGGGAUUCAAUUGGGAUACUGAUUUCGGCGUUUGUAUACUGAUUUCGGCUACACAUGGCUUUGUCUGACUCAUCUCGUGUUGGAUUUGAACCUACGGCAUCUGAUGAUCAUCAUACAACAUUGUCUGCAUACAAUCCACAUCCCGAUUCUGGUUUUUUUGGCCCAUCUGAUGUCAAUUUCAAUCCUAUUUCUGCCGUGGGUCCAUCUGAUGUUGAUGUCAAUACCUUACCUGCAGUUAAUCCAAAUGAAAGUUGCAAUCCUGUGUUUACAACAGUUGCAAAUCGACACACCUUUCAUGGGUUUGAAAUACAGACGUUUGAUUCCAUGUUUACACCAGGCAACGUAGGCUCUGAGACUGCUAAUUUACCUGAUCAAUCAUUAUCAGUUGACACUGCAUCUACUGGUAACACCACAUCUACUGGUUGCAAUUCAUUCAAUUUGUGACUAAAUGUAUUAUGUUGACUGAUGUAUAUACUUUGUAAAUGAUAUUGUAUUAACUGUUAUGCACAUGU
rnacentral:lncRNA from 1 species